UAGCGCAGGGACUGGAGGUCCGGACUCUUCUCCAGGAAGGUCUUCUUGAGGCCCACGCCCCCCGCGUGGAAGUAUUGCUGCGGAUGGACAGGACUCAGGCACCCCCAAACCUGCUUCCUCGUGCCCCGCUCACCUUGAUGGUGUCCAGGGCCAGUUCGACCACGGCGCACUGCUUUGGGGUGAGGCUCUUGGCUUCUUCACGUACCAUGUGAUCCUAUGUGGAUGGCAGGGAGGGUCGGUGAGCAAAGUUGACAGCAACGUUGAGAUUGUGAGUCUUGGGCGUUCAUGUUGGGGGUCAAAGGAUCCGUUCCACUGAUCAAACGGAAUCUGAUCGCGUCUUUCCGCAGGGCAUAAGAAGUGGGGUCCGGGUCCGGGAUCUGGUGCCCUGGUCGGUCCCUAGCCUUCCCCGUGAGCCUCGGCCCCUCACCUUGAGUUUGGACAGCUGGCCCAGCUCCUUGGCGGCAUUGAAGAUCAUCUGUGUUCCCUGUGGGAACAGAGACAGCGGGGUAACGGUGUGAACUUUCUAGAUGGUUCCCCCACCCCGAGCGACCCCCAGCCUGUCUGCCAUCUCGGUUCCCGUCCGAAGGGUCAGGAGCCUCCCAGUGAGAUCGUGGGGCGUGUGGCCACCUGGUCCCUGGAGAAGCCGGGUUCCGUGGGAACACUGCCCACGCACUCAUUCCCACCAGGGCCCCACAGUUGGAAGACAUAAGACAAGCAGGCGUGUGGUGGGGGGGGGUGAGGGAGGCACCCUGGGGUGGGAUUUCCUUCCCCUCAGCCGCCCCUCCGUGGUGAUUCCACCCUGUCCUCCUCACGCACUGGCGUCUGGAACCCCCCCUUCCCUGAGACACCCACCAGAUGGCAACGGUGGCAGGGCCUAGG